AACUAAUCUUAUAGCAUACAAACAAUUGCCCCCGCUUACAAACAACAUAUUAGCCGCACCAAAUCAUUUUUCCCCCCGAGUAUGGGCGACAGAAAGGGGCCCCAAUAGCUACAAAGAAAGUACCGCAAGGGACUUCUGAAAAAGAAGUGAAACAACCAAAAAGACAAGAGCAGCAGAGCUUUACCCUCGUACCUUUUGCAUCAUGGAUUAACCAGCCUUACCAAGCAGAGAGAUCUCUAGUUUGACACCCCGAAACCAGGCGAGCUACUUCAAGUCAGCCCCCUGG
rnacentral:rRNA from 1 species